rnacentral:rRNA from 1 species
CGAAAGCCUGACGGAGCAAUACCGCGUGAGGGAGGAAGGCUCUUGGGUUGUAAACCUCUUUUCUCAGGGAAGAACAAAAUGACGGUACCUGAGGAAUCAGCAUCGGCUAACUCCGUGCCAGCAGCCGCGGUAAUACGGAGGAUGCAAGCGUUAUCCGGAAUGAUUGGGCGUAAAGCGUCCGCAGGUGGCUUAUCAAGUCGAUUGUCAAAGGUCCUGGCUCAACUGGGAACAGGCAGUGGAAACUGAAAAGCUAGAGUGCGGUAGGGGUAGAGGGAAUUCCCGGUGUAGCGGUGAAAUGCGUAGAGAUCGGGAAGAACACCAGUGGCGAAAGCGCUCUACUAGGCCUGCACUGACACUCAUGGACGAAAGCUAGGGGAGCG